rnacentral:snRNA from 1 species
CUGUUAAGCAGGGAGGGGAAGAUACCAUGAUCACGAAGGUGGUUUUCCCAGGGUGAGGCUUAUCCCUUGCACCCUGAAUGUGCUGACCCAAUUGUGGGGAACUCAUAGUGUGGGGGCGCAUUCUCACUCUCCCCUU